AACGCACAUUGCGCCCCCUGGUAUUCCGGGGGGCAUGCCUGUCCGAGCGUCAUUACAACCCUCAAGCUCAGCUUGGUGUUGGGCCCCGCCGCCCCGGCGGGCCCUAAAGUCAGUGGCGGUGCCGUCCGGCUCCGAGCGUAGUAAUUCUUCUCGCUCUGGAGGUCCGGUCGUGUGCUUGCCAUCAACCCCCAAUUUUUUUCAGGUUGACCUCGGAUCAGGUAGGGAUACCCGCUGAACUUAAG
rnacentral:misc_RNA from 1 species